rnacentral:rRNA from 1 species
GGGCCCGCACAAGCGGUGGAGCAUGUGGUUUAAUUCGAUGAUACGCGAGGAACCUUACCAGGGCUUAAAUGUAAGUUGCAUAAGUUAGAGAUAGCUUUUUCUUCGGACUACUUACAAGGUGCUGCAUGGUUGUCGUCAGCUCGUGCCGUGAGGUGUCAGGUUAAGUCCUAUAACGAGCGCAACCCCUAUCGUUAGUUGCCAGCGGGUAAUGCCGGGAACUCUAGCGAAACUGCCGGUGCAAACCGUGAGGAAGGUGGGGAUGACGUCAAAUCAUCACGGCCCUUACGUCCUGGCCUACACACGUGCUACAAUGGUCGGUACAGAGAGCAGCCACUACGCGAGUAGGAGCG